GUGACCUCAAAUCAGGNAGGACUACCCGCUGAACUUAAGCAUAUCAAUAAGCGGAGGAAAAGAAACUAACA
rnacentral:rRNA from 1 species